CCUACGGGAGGCUGCAGUGAGGAAUAUUGGUCAAUGGGCGGGAGCCUGAACCAGCCAAGUCGCGUGAGGGAUGACGGCCCUAUGGGUUGUAAACCUCUUUUGCCGGGGAGCAAAGUUCCGCACGUGUGCGGUUUGGAGAGUACCCGGAGAAAAAGCAUCGGCUAACUCCGUGCCAGCAGCCGCGGUACUACGGGGGAUGCGAGCGUUCUCCGGAUUUAUUGGGUUUAAAGGUUGCGUAGGCGGACGCUUAAGUCCGCGGUAAAAUGGCGGGGCUCAACCUCGUCGAGCCGUUGAGACUGGGUGCCUUGAGUGGGCGAGAAGUACGCGGAAUGCGUGGUGGAGCGGUGAAAUGCAUAGAGAGCACGCAGAACUCCGAUUGCGAAGGCAGCGUACCGGCGCCCAACUGACGCUGAAGCACGAAGGCGUGGGUAUCGAACAGGAUUAGAUACCCUUGUAGUC
rnacentral:rRNA from 1 species